CAGUCGCCGCGGUAAAACGGAGGGAGCUAGCGUUAUUCGGAAUUACUGGGCGUAAAGCGCACGUAGGCGGCUUUGUAAGUAAGAGGUGAAAGCCCGGAGCUCAACUCCGGAACUGCCUUUUAGACUGCAUCGCUUGAAUCCAGGAGAGGUGAGUGGAAUUCCGAGUGUAGAGGUGAAAUUCGUAGAUAUUCGGAAGAACACCAGUGGCGAAGGCGGCUCACUGGACUGGUAUUGACGCUGAGGUGCGAAAGCGUGGGGAGCAAACAGGAUUAGAUACCCGAGUAGUCCCUGUCUCUUAUAC
rnacentral:rRNA from 1 species